UAGGGUUUAGUGCCGACAUCUUAUGAAAC
rnacentral:piRNA from 1 species